GGAUAUCGGUGUAAUCAGAGGACCCCUGACCCCAGAGGAAAAGUUAAGAAGAAGGACAAACCAUCUAUGUCUCUAUUGUGGUUCUAAAGAUCAUGAGGUUACAACUUGCCCAUCCCUCAAGAAGCAGAAAAAGGUGGGAUCACCAUCUCCUCCACUCUAAAGCUGUCAUAGACUCCGGAGCUUUCUCCCGUUACAUUGAUAUUGAUUAUGUAAAAUCAAAUAAAAUUCCCCUUAUUGCAAAAAACAAA